GUUUGAUCAUGGCUCAGGAUGAACGCUAGCGGCAGGCCUAACACAUGCAAGUCGAGGGGCAGCGGGAAAAAGCUUGCUUUUUUGCCGGCGACCGGCGCACGGGUGCGGAACGCGUAUGGAACCUGCCCCUGUCAGGGGAAUAGCCCAGGGAAACUUGGAUUAAUGCCCCAUGGUACCGUUACAUCGCAUGAUGUUUCGGUUAAAGAUUUAUCGGACAGGGAUGGCCAUGCGUACCAUUAGUUAGUUGGCGGGGUAACGGCCCACCAAGGCAGCGAUGGUUAGGGGCCCUGAGAGGGGGAUCCCCCACACUGGUACUGAGACACGGACCAGACUCCUACGGGAGGCAGCAGUGAGGAAUAUUGGACAAUGGGCGGGAGCCUGAUCCAGCCAUGCCGCGUGCAGGAUGACUGCCCUAUGGGUUGUAAACUGCUUUUAUACGGGAAGAAACGCACCUACGUGUAGGUGUCUGACGGUACCGUAAGAAUAAGGACCGGCUAACUCCGUGC
rnacentral:rRNA from 1 species